AUGCAGGCCUGGCGGAAAGCUCUGGGUCUGCUGUCUGAAGGCCCGGGUCAGAGAUUCCGUCUCCUCCCAGCUGCCCGGCUGCUGAGACCCCACCCCCACCCCGGGACCUGCCUGAGCCUCCUCUUCUGUGAAGCAGGGGCUGGACCAGACCGGGAGUCUGGCUCCCAAACUAGAGAGUUUGUCAGGUUCAUCUGGGCACCAUGCGGAUGACAAGGACACCGGGGCAACUCCCAGAAGUUGACUUGAAAGCUCCCUGUGGAUGAUGCUGCGACGGCCUCUGGACCACAGAUGGGAGAACGCUGGACCACACAGCAGCCUUCCGGCCUCGGGCGUCUCUGAUGGGGCCCGGUUCUGUUACGGACCUGGAUUCUCUCUGGUUGGCUUGAGGCUCCAUUUCUUUUAAUAUACACAGACUAUUGUUUAAUUAAAAGGGAAUUCACAGUCUUUUCUUCGUAAGUAUGUUUGAAAGCAUUAGAGGGUAACUGUUCCAAGGAGCGCUUCUUUGGGUGAAGGGCUAAGUCCACCAAGGGAACAGAGGCGGAGUGGCUGUACCAGGGAUUCUGCGGCUGCCGCUCCGGGGAGGAGCAACGCGUAGGCCUGAUCCUCCUCUGUGAGUCUUUUCUUUCUUCCCAUCCCUCUCGUCUCCCUCAGGUGACCUCCUGCUUGAUCUGGGGCUCUCUCGAUUAUACCUCCUGCCAAAUGUAAAAGCAAAUGGGGGAGUUCCCACUGUGGUGCAGUGGGUUAAGACUCUGACUCCAGCAGCUUGGGUCACUGAGGAGGUGCGGGUUUGAACCCUGGCCGGGCUCAGUGGGUUACAGGGUCCGGCAUUGCUGCUGCUGUGGUGUAGGUCACAGCUGUGGCUCGGAUUCAGUCCCUGGCCUGGGAACUUCCAUGUACUGUGGGUUUGGCCAUAAAGGAAAAAAAGCAUGAAUAGGAACUGUGGGGUCAGAGCUUCUUGAUGGCUGGUCUGAAACUUGACCUGCUGAUGGAUGGGUCCAGUGUCACCUCAGAGCCCCCUUCUCUUGGCAUUUGGGAAUUUUAUCAGAACAGGAGGUGCCAUCAGCAGUUUUUACCUUGCUCUGACAGCAAGACCCAGGUAAACCAAAAGCAUCUGGGCAGUGGGAACCAGCGUUAAUGACCG
rnacentral:lncRNA from 1 species